UGAGCGAGGGGGCGUGGCCCUCCGCCCCGCCCCCCGCUCCGGUCCAGCGCGGGGUUCCGCCGGCCAAGUCCCUGGCUGCGAGCCCGUCCCGGCCACCGACGCGGUAGCGAGGGGCCGGCUUGCCCACAACAGCAGCCGUUCUCAAACCUCUAGACUCGGAGGAAGCGGUCCCGCGCCGCCCCCCUCGAUCCCCACAGGUCCGGGCCGCUAACCGCUCCCGUAACUGACUUCCAGGGGCGGAGCUGCGCCGCGAGAGGGAGGCCCAAGUAGCGAGCAGGCAACAAGCGGGCAGUGUGCAUAGUUUGCUAGAAGUCACAACCUGAAUUAUGUCCUGAGACUCCAGAAAACAAUUGUAAAUUAAGAAGAAAAUUGAAUACACUCAUUGGAUAAGCAGUUUCAUGCAACAAAGGUUGGUGUGACCAGGUGACUGAAUUGUAACCAAUGGGAAGUGGGUGGCUCAUGAAACUUUUCUAAGCAUGAUUCAACAUUCUCUUUCCUUACUGAGAGAGUGAACUGAAUCCAAAUAUUCUAAAGCCCUCGGGAAUGGUGGAGCCAUGAGAUGCAAAGAAGCUGUUUCUGCAGUGUCAUU